CAGAGCAGGAGAAACUUGAGCAUCUCGUAACAGCUACGUUAAAGAGCAGUUGAGGUGACCCUGUUAAUGCUGAUGUAAAUGCCUAAAGUGACCACAGCAGCAGCUGGGAGGUGGCAGAAGAGAGCUGCUUUUCAGCCAUGCCCUUUGUUGGAAGCUUACUGGAGAGUUAAGAGGAGCAUACUCCGUGUAAAAGCAUACAGAAAAUGCAGUGGGUUAGAAGAGCCUUGUGCAUAGAAGUUACUAACCCUGUGAUGGAUCAUAUUCAUAAAGGAUUUCAGGAAUCAACAUAUUCCUCAUUCGAGAAUCUUUCCAUCCUUACCACCACAAGCCAAACAAGCUCUUGCUCAAACUUCAGGCUGCGGAGGGUCAGGGAUAAAGACAGCUGCCGACACGACUUUGAGUGUACCUCCUUCUCAGAGAAGUCCUCGGGUGGCACAGAGCUGGCUCCAUGAGAACUGUGCUUGGCUUCAGCUGUGCAGGAGAGAAAGGGGAGGUAUUGACCUUCCAUCACUGACCAGCAGAUGCUGGGCUACCCUGGAUUCACUCAAGUGUGCCUGGCUCCUGCGCUCUGAAGAGGAUGCUCCGCUCCGCUCUGCAGCAAUGCAUCCAGGAGGACAGCAGUUAAGAUGUGGGCCUUAUUUUCCUGCCCAAAUCCCGCGGGAGAAGCAGCGAUCACAUGCUAUUCGUUGUUUCAAGAUUAUUGAAGAAACCACUGCUAUUGAACUGGCAGGGGAUCUUUCCUUCUGUGACCUUUGCCAGAGCAUCUGAUUGGUGUGCCCCAGCUGCAGGCCCUAAUUUUCUUGGGAAAGUUUUAAGAUCGUCUGAAAAGCAACCGUCUUCUUUCCUAGCCCUUACUGACUUGUACGGGCUUUUCCUGGCCUUUCCAACUGCAGUGUGAAGGGGAUUGUUUGUUUUCUUUUUAAAUGUUAUCCUGCCUUCCUCCUCUUUUUUAACAAAACUGUACGUGAAGACUCACUGUGUAUGGAGCAUGGCACAUGGACGGAGUGGCUGCUUUGAACUACUUUCGCAACAAUGGAUUCUGCUCGACUGAUAAUGAAACCAUGGGAUAGACCUCAGGGAGGAUGCUGCUGCGAAAGUCUUAUUUCUGAGGGUGCUGCAGCCCCAGAGGGAAAAUUUUCCUGCAGGUCGCUCUGAAGGAACUUGCACCAAAGUAACCAAGGGUAUGGCCCCUGGCACCUUCAUUUUCCUCGGCUCCUGUGGUGGCAGAAGCGGGUGGAGGGAAGUAACCUAUCCCAUUUCUGUUUGAAAAUAUUUAGCUUGAGUGAUGUGAAGAUUUCAGUAGAUCUGUGACAAGAUCAAAGACUAUAAAUUAUUUAACAGUGGUUCUACUUUUGUGGAAUUAUUUAAAGUAUCAUAAUUGCAGCUCAGCUUCCCAGCCUUCAUUUUCAAGUCUGGAAUUCUGUUGGGAACUAUCAUAAUCACUGAAGAGUAUAAUAUUACAGGCUGGGUAUAAAAAUAUCUUUUUAAUGACUAGCAAAUUAGUGAAAUGUCUUGACCUGAAUCUAGACCAAACAGAAGACAGUGUUUUUAUGGAGGGGGAAGAAAGACUAAAUUGUCACCACAUUGUUAUUCUUGUUAAAUUCUCCACUACUUAAAAUGUCAGUUGAUUAGAUAAAAUUUGUAACACUGUGCAUCAAUGCAAGUGAUGAAGGGCUGUGUGUUACAUAGUAUCUUGGCAUUUCUACACUUUUGUUUUCCUUUUAAUGCUAGCAUGUGCGUUCUGUGACUGAAACUUGGAAAAAUAAAGGCUAUUCAUUACUUCAGUACCCUGUGAACAAUAGGGAUCACGAAAGGCAUUGCAGGGAACUCCUCUGUGUGUUGGCUCUUCAAGAAGCAGGAUGGGCCCUUGGAGGGUUUUCUCUUAGGCUUCAAGUAGUUGUUGUGUGCAUGAUCUGCCUGGCUAAGCGCUGUGUGUCUGACCUGACGUAAGACCUAGAAGGGGCAAGAGUUUCCCACUCCAUACCUUGUGAUUCAAAGAGUUCACUGAGUCUCUGUUUACCUAUGAAAAGCAUUUAUGCUCCAAAUUCCUGUUUGUAAAUGAACUGGAGGAAACUGAGCCCUUGUGUUCCUCUGAGCAGUCAGAUAUCAGUGGCUAAAUUCUCAGUUUGGGCAAUUUGGAACAUAGAGUAACGACGCCAGGCAGGUCUCUGCAGACGAGGGUUCAGUUCCCAGUUACGCUAUCAGUUUCCAGUGUGAUUUGGGGCGAGUCACUGACCUUUCUGUUCUUCAUUUCCCCCAAAUUAAACCAGAAGCGAUAAUAUCAACCUGUUUACAUGGUGAGCAUUAGGUUACCAGGGCUGCAUUUGCAGUGCAGAGCCUCCCUAUCAAAAGAGUGAAAUCCUAAUGGUAGUGCAGACAACUUGACUGCAUUUUGCCUUCGCAGCAGGGUAAAACAGGUAUUUUGGGACAGAGGGCGUCCUGCAUUCACAGGACACCUUAUGCAACGAAGCUAUAGUCUGUAGCUCAGAUAACCUACGUCAAAACAUGCAAUAGGAGUCCAGGGAUAACAUGAUGCAGGAAAGGAGGUGGUCUCCAUCCCAGUCUUCUUCUCCUGCUGGCCAGAGUCCUUGCUGCUUUGCUUUGCUGCAGAAAUGAACAUGACUUUGCCUGCUUUUGACUCACCUCUUCUCUUAAAUUUUUUCUCUACUUGGGCUAGGUGGUACAACUGCUUAGCGAGGGCACCAGCCUUUCAGUCCCAGCUGCCCAAGUGUAGCAGCCAUGAGGAAGAGUGCCGUUAAUCACUCAUUUUUAACAUCUCUGCAAAACGCUGCGGCUCCAUGGCUCGAUGAUCUCUGCUUGAGAGAAGCCCGCUUCAAUAAAAACAGAACUUUUGUGAUCUUGGGAAGCAAAGACAAAUGAGAAAUUUGUUCAGCACUUGGCUGAAAGAAAUGUGAUUGGUCUUUAAUUAACAGGAGCGCGAAGGAGCUUCAUGAAUUAAAUGAAAAAGACUGUUAUCCUGAGACUUUGUAUUCUGGAGGGACCCGCAUGGCAGGUUGGAGGCAACCCACAGCAAGGCUGCGCUCAGUACCUGCACGGACUGCGUAGGCACGCGUGCUCCUCAGAUUAGUGACAUCUCCCAGGAGGCGAACGCAAUGCGAACAAUCGCUUCUGCUGGCAAAUGUCAUCUGUUAGAUAUCAGCCUAAUUUUCUCCAGUGACACAAAGCAGACUUCAUCCUCGCUACGUCGUGACAGCAGCGUUUUGUUAGCCUGCGUGCAACCUGGCGUUCUGGCCCAGCUCCUCCUUCAGGCUGCGUGUUGACAUGCACUGGGGAUCUGGAGUCUCCAAAGCAUUAAGGCAAGAUUGUAUCAUGGCACGGCCAUUUCUUUCACUUCUCCACACUGGAUUACGUUCUCCUACUCAUUGAAAAAUAGUAGAAAUGUUUCUCUAAGAGCUUACUCACUUGCUACAGACCCCUGCUGUCUAGUUUUGCUGAAGAUGUGCUGACAGGUCAGGAAGAGCUUAGAAAAGGACAUGAGGAGAAUGAUCAGAGGUGAAAAAACUACCCACAGAAGCUCAAUAGAAUUAGUUUAUCCAACACCAUGACCUAAUGAUAUCCUAGAUGUACUUUGAAGGAAGAAGAGCUUUGUGAUUAAUGGAUAGCUUUUUUUUAUCUGCCAGGAAAACAGUUGCUAAAAUAGGAAAUGAGGAUUUUUUUUUUCUUUUUUAAGUUGGAAAAAUGAUUAACCACUGCUUUCCUGGACAUAUGAUGAGGUCUUCAUCACUUUCAGUCUUUAAAAAUUAAACUUUUUAUUUUUGGAGCUGGGAGAAGGUUUUGUGGCCUGUGGUGGUAGGAGGUGAUCGAGCAGACUUGAUUCUUGCAAUUACAUAUAACUGCCUGCUUUACCAAUAAGGUUUUGCCUGAAACUCUUAGUGAGGCUAUACUGUAUGUAAGCAGGCUUUGGAUACCUUCCCAGAUGUAUUCCAGAUACACCCUGCACUACACACAGACUAGAUAGUGGUGCAAUCUCAUCUAGCGUGUGCCCUGAAAUUACUGCUCAUUUCUCUUUAUAAUAAAUGAGAGCUAUUUGCUACAAUCUUCCUAAAGCUGUAAUGCAUCGGCAUCCUGGAGUGCAAGAGUCCUAUCUUGGAUGGCUACAUUCAAAACAUACCCUAGGGACUGUUAGAGAAAUUUAUAAUCAUCCCUUUAGAAUCCCAGGAUUAAGUUCUAAGUGGCAAGCAAAUAAAUAAACAAUGCUUCUCCCUAUUGCCUAUUUAUUUCUCGGAGAUCAAUGGAACGUUCAAGGAUGAAAUUGGUUUUCUUAGAGGAUUAAAAAAAUAUUUUAAAUAGUUUUUUAUUAUGAGAAUUAAUAUUGUGGAUUCUGGAGAGGUGAGAGGUUAGUGUGAGCCAGGUUAUUGUAAACUGUUUCAUUCUGAAAGAAGCAUUUAGGGGUAUGAAAAGAGAAAUGAAGUUAAAGGACACCUUGUUUUAGCUCGUCAGUUUGACAUCCUGCUAAAAGAAGUCUGUGAAAUUGCCUGCUGUUGCUGGAAACUGGGCAAAUGCUGUGGAAAUGUGCACAGGUGAGGACGUUUGUGCACUGUGUUGUGCCAACACGUGUAUUUGCAAUCCCUGUUUGGGGCAGUGUUGUUUUGUAACAGGUCCCCCUAUUUCCCCUCUUCUUGUACCUGGUCUGGAAUAGCAAGUGACAACUACACACGUACAGGGCGACCCCAGCAGGUGCAGGGCACAGACGGUACUUCCACACCUACUACUUCUGACCAAAAUGCACGUGGAUAACAGGCAGGUUUCUUCCACUGUUGAAUUAGUCCGUGACUGUUGGUGUUGUUUUCCUUCUCCCAUUUUCCAUGGACUCCUCUUCUGUCUGAGUUUGGAAGGGAACAAACAGAUUGUUUUGGUUCUGUUUUACCAAAAUGAAGAGAAUAGCAAGCAGGGAGGUUUAGGGCUGGUAACUGAAGUUCAGAAUGGUUUGAAGGGCUGUGGAUUGGGGCUCUGGUCGCUGCCACCUCAUAAAAAAAGCAAGGCUCUCUCUUUUUCUGUUUGGGGAAAAACAAACCAAAAAAUAUGAAAAAACAAUACU